GCCCAGUUACAUGUCAUAUAUUGUAUAACUGUAGCAAUUAUAGGCUUUAUGUUCUUUAUUUGUCUUCUAGAUCUCUCUGGAACUGUUUGAGGGCUCAGUCAGUGGCCUCAGGGAGACAAGGAGAAACAAUUCACUGGGCGAGAAGUGGACCUCGUACAUUUGCAAAGAGGUCUUAAAGGGUCUGUGUCAUCUUCAGAAAUAUCAUGUCAUUCAUCACGACCUGAAACCUGAAAACCUCAGGCUGACAUCAUCCGGCGAUGUGAAAAUCUGUGAUUUUGAAUUUGCCACCAUUGGGAAGAGGAGUUCCAGCACCAACGGGACUCCUGCAUAUAUGGCUCCCGAGGCACUUGCCUGUCUCGUAAAUGACCAUCUGGACUAUGACCACAGGGCCGACAUCUGGUCAUUGGGAGUCAGCGCCAUUGAAAUGGCACAGGGCUAUCUCCCAUACGGCAAUCUGAGGGGCCACAAGCUGAUCAACAGAAUUCUAAAAGGUCCUACUGUAACACUCACG